UACGUAGGGUGCGAGCGUUGUCCGGAAUUACUGGGCGUAAAGAGCUCGUAGGUGGUUUGUCGCGUUGUCCGUGAAAACUCACAACUCAAUUGUGGGCGUGCGGGCGAUACGGGCAGACUGGAGUACUGCAGGGGGAGACUGGAAUUCCUGGUGUAGCGGGUGGAAUGCGCAGAUAUCAGGAGGAACACCGGUGGCGAAGGCGGGUCUCUGGGCAGUGAAC
rnacentral:rRNA from 1 species